AAGGAACGUUCGGGGUCUCGAGCGGCGACGGGUGAGUAACACGUGAGCAACCUGCCCUAGGCUUUGGGAUAACCCUCGGAAACGGGGGCUAAUACCGAAUAGGACCUGACAUCGCAUGAUGUUUGGUGGAAAGUUUUUCGGCCUGGGAUGGGCUCGCGGCCUAUCAGCUUGUUGGUGGGGUGAUGGCCUACCAAGGCGACGACGGGUGGGCGGGCUGAGAGGGCGACCGGCCACACUGGGACUGAGACACGGCCCAGACUCCUACGGGAGGCAGCAGUGGGGAAUAUUGCACAAUGGGCGGAAGCCUGAUGCAGCGACGCCGCGUGAGGGAUGACGGCCUUCGGGUUGUAAACCUCUUUCAGCAGGGACGGGGGAGGGGGUGACGGUACCUGCAGAAGAAGCGCCGGCUAACUACGUGCCAGCCGCAGCGGUAAGACGUAGGGCGCGAGCGUUGUCCGGAUUUAUUGGGCGUAAAGAGCUCGUAGGCGGUUUUGUCGCGCCGACCGUGAAAACUGGGGGCUCAACCCCAAGCCCUGCGGUCGAUACGGGGCAGGCUAGAGUUCGGUAGGGGAGACUGGGAAUUUCCUGGUGUAGCGGGUGAAAUGCGCAGAUAUCACGAGGAACACCGGUGGCGAAGGCGGGUCUCUUGGGCCGAUACUGACGCUGAGGAGCCGAAAGCGGUGGGGAGCGAACAGGAUUAGAUUACUCCUGGGUAGUCCCACUC
rnacentral:rRNA from 1 species